CCUCCGCUCUCUCCACUGGCUUCCAGUUGAAGCUCGCAUCCGCUACAAGACCAUGGUGAUUGCCUACGGAGCUGUGAAGGGAACGGCACCUCCAUACCUUCAGGCUCUGAUCAGGCCCUACACCCAAACAAGGGCACUGCGUUCAUCCACCUCUGGCCUGCUGGCCCCCCUACCUCUGAGGAAGCACAGUUCCCGCUCAGCCCAGUCAAAACUGUUCGCUGCUCUGGCACCCCAAUGGUGGAACAAGCUGCCUCACGACGCUAGGACAGCGGAGUCAAUCACCACCUUCCGGAGACACCUGAAACCCCACCUCUUUAAGGAAUACGUUGGAUAGGAUAAAGUAAUCCUUCUAACCCCCCCCUCCCCUUAAAAGAUUUAGAUGCACUAUUGUAAAGUGGUUGUUCCACUGGAUAUCAUAAGGUGAAUGCACCAAUUUGUAAGUCGCUCUGGAUAAGAGCGUCUGCUAAAUGACUUAAAUGUUAAUGUUAAAUCUCAAAUAAAACUGUGAAGGACCUCGGUGUUACUCUGGACCCUGAUCUCUCUUUUGAAGAACAUAUCAAGACUGUUUCAAGGACAGCUUUUUUCCAUUUGCGUAACAUUGCAAACCUAACCUACAAAGCAUUACAUGGGCUUGCUCCUACAGAUCUUUCCGAUUUACUCCUGCCGUACAUACCUACACGUACACUACGGUCACAAGACGCAGGCCUCCUAAUUGUCCUUAGAAUUGCUAAGCAAACAGCUGGAGGCAGGGCUUUCUCCUAUAGAGCUCCAUUUUUAUGGAAUGGUCUGCCUACCCAUGUGGGAGACGCAGACUCGAUCUCAACCUUAAAGUCUUUACUGAAGACUCAUCUCUUCAGUGGGUCCUAUGAUUGAGUGUAGUCUGGCCCAGGAGUGUGAAGGUGAAGGUGAACGGAAAGGCUCUGGAGCAACGAACCGCCCUUGCUGUCUUUGCCUGGCCGGUUCCCCUCUCUCCACUGGGUUUCUCUGCCUCUAACCCUAUUACAGGGGCUGAGUCACUGGCUUACUGGUGCUCUUCCAUGCCGUCCCUAGGCGGGGUGCAUCACUUGAGUGGGUUGAGUUACUGACGUGGUCUUCCUGUCUGGGUUGGCACCCCCCCCCCCCUUGGGUUGUGCCGUGGCGGAGAUCUUUGUGGGCUAUACUCGGCCUUGUCUCAGGAUGAGGACCUAAGCCCUAGGACCAUGCCUCAGGACUACCUGGCAUGAUGACUCCUUGCUGUCCCCAGUCCACCUGGCCAUGCUGCUGCUCCAGUUUCAACUGUUCUGCCUGCGGCUACAGUUGCGGUCCCUGACCUGUUCACCGGACGUGCUACCUGUCCCAGACCUGCUGUUUUCAACUCUCUAGAGACAGCAGGAGCGGUAGAGAUACUCUCAAUGAUCGGCUAUGAAAAGCCAACUGACAUUUACUCUUGAGGUGCUGACUUGUUGCACCCUCGACAACUACUGUGAUUAUUAUUAUUUGACCAUGCUGGUCAUUUAUGAACAUUUGAACAUCUUGGCCAUGUUCUGUUAUAAUCUCCACCCGGCACAGCCAGAAGAGGACUGGCCACCCCUCAUAGCCUGGUUCCUCUCUAGGUUUCUUCCUAGGUUUAGGCCUUUCUAGGGAGUUUUUCCUAGCCACCGUGCUUCUACACCUGCAUUACUUGCUGUGUUAUAGUGUGUUUUUUUCUAGAAGAUUUUGUCAUUUUCUAAAAAAUAACAUUUAUUUGUUAUCUAAUCAAACAUGUAGCCCAGCUGAAAUCACUCCAGUAUUGUUUUCCUUCAAGAUAAUGAGGAAAUGUACAACUAUCAGUCACUUGAUUUUUUAAAUCUCCAUUUGGCAAAUAACCCAGAGUCAGUAAAUCCAACUCUUAACGUUAGUAACACAUGGCCAUGUUUCAAGGUCGUGUACACAGUGAAAUCCAGACCACAUAACCACAUGACCACAUGACAGAUAUGAAACUGAGGUGAGAGUAUUAUUUUUCGUGAUGGCAUCACAGCAUCAGAACUGCAUUAUUUUCUAAAGAAGUCUAUUGAUUAACAUUAAGCCAGAGUCUAUAUAAUUAUAACAAAAACAGACUGAAGCUCCCACACACUCCCCUUAGCUCAGAGAGGAGGAAAAAUACUAAUCAGAUUUAUUGCAGGGUAGCUUUAUAAUUAUUUACUCCAUUAGCCAUUAGUGGUCGACACAAAGUGCACUGGCUCGCAAAAUUAGAAUCCUUAUCUGAAUGUUCCAGAAACUUCACUGUAUCCUUCGCUAGAAUGUGUAAAUUGAAUAGGAUAGCUGCCUACCCUGUACAGGAAGAGGAGACAUUGAGGACAUUCCAAUAUCAGGACAUUUCGGGAUGUUUAAAUGUGGUGGCAUUUAACAGAGUUGCAGAGUGUUGAAUGCACCCCCACUGGUGUACUCACCCAUGAGAAACUAGUUGGGAUAUUACCUAUUGAGAAACCAGUCAGGACAUUACCUAUUGAGAAACCAGUUGGGACAUUACCUAUUAAUAAAGCAGUCAGGAUAUUACCUAUUGAGAAACCAGUCGGGAUAUUACCUAUUGAGAAACCAGUCGGGAUAUUACCUAUUGAGAAACCAGUCAGGACAUUACCUAUUAAUAAAGCAGUCAGGAUAUUACCUAUUGAGAAACCAGUCGGGACAUUACCUAUUGAGAAGCUAGUUGGGACAUUGCCCAUCGAGAAACCAGUCGGGAC
rnacentral:lncRNA from 1 species